rnacentral:tRNA from 1 species
GGAGAGGUAUCGAAGCGGUCAUAACGAGGCGGUCUUGAAAACCGUUUGUCCGCAAGGGCACAAGGGUUCGAAUCCCUUCCUCUCCG